rnacentral:rRNA from 1 species
UACGAAGGGUGCAAGCGUUACUCGGAAUUACUGGGCGUAAAGCGUGCGUAGGUGGUUUGUUAAGUCUGAUGUGAAAGCCCUGGGCUCAACCUGGGAACGGCAUUGGAAACUGGCUUACUAGAGUGCGGUAGAGGGGUGUGGGAAUUCCCCGGGUGUAGCAGUGAAAUGCGUAGAUAUCGGGAGGAACAUCUGUGGCGAAGGCGACACCCUGGACCAGCACUGACACUGAGGCACGAAAGCGUGGGGAGCAAACAGG